UCUCCAUUACCGGUGAAGGAAUCAUCACCAAUGAAGUCGAAGGCGGAGUCGGCAGGGUUAGAGCGCUUCUAGGGUUUAACCGAUCCCCAGCCGUCGGGGUUGAAGGGGACGGCGCCGAUUUCAAAGCCUACCAUGUUGUUUUUCGAUUUGAUUGAGGUGAAAGAGUGAAGAUGAGUGAGAGAUAGGGGAGGGUGUAGAGAUUGGGAUUUGGGAGAGCAGAGAACUGCUUCAGAUGUUGGAAGCGAUGUUGGAAGGCUAGGAGAGAAAAAGACUAUACGUCUUUUGAUUUUAAGUGUUCAAGCUUCGUGUUUUU
rnacentral:lncRNA from 1 species